ACCCCUAGCCCGGGAACUUCACAUGCCGAGGGUUCGGCCCUAAAAAGCAAACAAAAACAAAAACCAUAGGAACAAUGUUGGAUUGACAAUCAGCUUUUGGGAGACGGGAGGUGGCACUGUCGGCACAGACACGGUGGCUUUCGGAACCACUUGCCAGCAGCCUCAGGGGACCUCAGAGGACAAAGCCGGCAGCCUGGCUGCUUCUGACGUCAGUGGUAACAGGAGAGGCAGAGCAGGGAGCGGCCAGAGGCUGACACCAGGAAGGGGUCAUGGGGACCAGGAUGGAAGCGCACCAGAGACAUAGCCUGGGGGCUCCCCCCAAUUCUUAGAAGAAUCCAGUAGGUCCUGGGAUCCAGCAAAGCAAGAGGGAUGGAGUCAGAGAGGAUACCCAGCGACACUCCAGUGACUGGCUGCUCCCGUAUCCUGGGUCCAGGAGGGAAGACUAUAGGAGCGGAAUUGCACCUGACCCAUGAUCCAUCAGAGUUUUUCUCUCAAUAUCAAGCUUCCACAGACUCUCUGCUGCGGUGGAAAUAUUUGAAAACAAUCAAGUGGAACCCACUGGGGAUGCUGUGUCCUUUUGAAUGCAGUCCACAGCUUCUCCCUGGACAAGGCAGACCGCUAUGUUUAGAAUCAUGGAGACCCAGCUACAGUCAUGAGAUAAUCCUGCCUGAGCAGGAUAACCAGGAACUGUUGCAAAAUUAAGGCUAAGCGCGUGGGUAGGGUAAGAGGGUGGGGAGGGGUGGGUUGCACCAUCAGCCUUUUAGGAAGGAUGGUUUGUCUCCAAGGGGGACACACAAUGGCUGUGAGAUCCACCUUCCAUACCUAGGGGGCCUUCAAGCUGAACCACCUGACCUGGUCUGACUUCAAUUGACCGCAGCUACAAAAAGCAGCAGGCAAGCAGUAUCCCAGCCCGAGCAUUGAAGCGGACACUGACUGUUAGCACAGAGAGACGCACUCAAAGCGCAGAAGACAGUUGUGCCAGGUGGUGACUGUGGUGCUGUGGGCCCAGAGCAGCCCGCCCUCUGAGCCAUCCCUGACGGGACAGGGAAGAGGUGCCUCGUCUGGCAGGUCACAGACUCCCUCCAGCUUCCAUCUGGCUGUGGUUCUUACCAGCAGUGACCUUGGCCUCAGGGGAGGGAGUGGGGCCAUCCUCCUAAGCCCCAUUCAAGGGACGGCAGAGACACUAUCCCUUCCAAGUGAAUAAACGCCUCCUCCGAGGCCCCGAGGCAGCCCAUUCCACAGCCAUACGGAGAACAGAGCAUCCUUCUGGGGUCUGUGUCAAACAAAGGCUGACACGCCUCAGACCCCACCAUCAACAGCAUCAAGGCACACCCAGCAUGAACUAUUUCACCUGGCCUGGCAAAGGUUAAGUCAUCUGACGCCUGGCACUGGCCACUGUGUGGAGUGAUAGGAACUCCCCUAGCGGGUGACUGGCUUCUAAGACACUAUGGCCAUUUCACAAAACAAUUUGGCAUCACCCGGUAAUGUUAGUGGGAGCAUAACAUUGGAUCCAUCAGUCCUAGUCCUAAACACUCACCCUAGAAAUUGCUCGUCUGUGCACACAAGGAAACAUACAAGUGCUCCUAGCACAGCUGUUUAUACGAACAAUCAGGAACAGGACUCCUGCUGUGGCUCAGCAGGUUAAGGACCUGACAUAGUGUCCGUGAGGAUGUGGGUUCGAUCCCUGG